rnacentral:rRNA from 1 species
AGGAUAGAGGCCUACCAUGGUUUCAACGGGUAACGGGGUGUUAGGGCACGACACCGGAGAGGGAGCCUGAGAAACGGCUACCACAUCCAAGGAUGGCAGCAGGCGCGCAAAUUACCCAAUCCCGACACGGGGAGGUAGUGACAAUAAAUAACAAUACGGGGUUCUUUCGGAUCUCGUAAUUGGAAUGAGUACAAUUUAAAUCUCUUAACGAGGAACAAUUGGAGGGCAAGUCUGGUGCCAGCAGCCGCGGUAAUUCCAGCUCCAAUAGCGUAUAUUAAAGUUGUUGCAGUUAAAAAGCUCGUAGUUGAAUUUCGGGGUUAGUAGGUUGGUCAUGCCUCUGGUAUGUACUGGUCUCACUGAUUCCUCCUUCCUUAUGAACCGUAAUGCCAUUAAUUUGGUGUUGCGGGGAAUUUGGACUGUUACUUUGAAAAAAUUAGAGUGUUUAAAGCAAGCUAACGCUUGAAUACAUUAGCAUGGAAUAAUGAAAUAGGACGUUCGAUCUUAUUUUGUUGGUUUCUAGGAUUGACGUAAUGAUUAAUAGGGAUAGUUGGGGGCAUUAGUAUUCAAUUGUCAGAGGUGAAAUUCUUGGAUUUAUUGAAGACUAACUACUGCGAAAGCAUUUGCCAAGGAUGUUUUCAUUAAUCAAGAACGAAAGUUAGGGGAUCGAAGACGAUCAGAUACCGUCGUAGUCUUAACCAUAAACUAUGCCGACUAGGGAUCGGAUGA